AACGAACGCUGGCGGCGUGCUUAACACAUGCAAGUCGAACGCGAAAGGGACUUCGGUCCGUGAGUAAAGUGGCGCACGGGUGAGUAACGCGUAGAUAACCUGUCUUCAUGUCUGGAAUAAUACGCCGAAAGGGGUACUAAUACCGGAUAUUCUUGCUUUUCAUAAGUUAUGCAAGCAAAGGUGGCCUCUGCAUAUGCUACUGCAUGAAGAGGGGUCUGCGUACCAUUAGCUAGUAGGUGGGGUAAUGGCCUACCUAGGCGACGAUGGUUAGCGGGUCUGAGAGGAUGAUCCGCCACACUGGCACUGGAACACGGGCCAGACUCCUACGGGAGGCAGCAGUGAGGAAUAUUGCGCAAUGGGGGAAACCCUGACGCAGCGACGCCGCGUGAGUGAAGGAAGGCCUUCGGGUCGUAAAGCUCUGUCAAGAGGAAAGAAGUGUACAAUGGCUAAUACCUGUUGUAUUUGACGGUACCUCUAAAGGAAGCACCGGCUAACUCCGUGCCAGCAGCCGC
rnacentral:rRNA from 1 species